rnacentral:rRNA from 1 species
GUAGGUGGCAAGCGUUGUCCGGAAUUAUUGGGCGUAAAGCGCGCGCAGGGCGGUCCUUUAAGUCUGAUGUGAAAGCCCACGGCUCAACCGUGGAGGGUCAUUGGAAACUGGGGGACUUGAGUACAGAAGAGGAAAGCGGAAUUCCAAGUGUAGCGGUGAAAUGCGUAGAGAUUUGGAGGAACACCAGUGGCGAAGGUGGCUUUCUGGUCUGUAACUGACGCUGAGGCGCGAAAGCGUGGGGAGCAAACAGGAUUAGAUACCCUGGUAGUCCACGCCGUAAACGAUGAGUGCUAAGUGUUAGGGGGGUUUCCGCCCCUUAGUGCUGCAGCUAACGCAUUAAGCACUCCGCCUGGGGAGUACGGCCGCAAAGGCUG